rnacentral:RNase_P_RNA from 1 species
UUUUGGAUAAUCGCGUGGUACCUUACGUACCAUGAGGAAAGUCCAUGCUAGCACUGGCUGUGAUGCCGGUAGUGUUUGUGCUAGGUGAAUUAAUAAGCCUAGGGACAUCUUUUUGAUGUUACGGCGAGUGAAAAAGCUAAGUCUUUUGAUAUGCUUGAAUAGCUCUGAAAAGUGCCACAGUGACGUAGUUCUUGGGAAAACCCGAGAAGUGGAACGCGGUAAACCCCUCAAGCUAGCAACCCAAACUUUGGUAGGGGCGCUUCAUGACGGAAAUGAACUAAUCAUGGGGGCGAGUCUUUGACUCGGAGAUAGAUGAUUACCACCGAUUUCGGAUUCCUGAACCGAAUGACGUACGGAACGUGGCUUAUAG